GACGAACGCUGGCGGCGUGCCUAAUACAUGCAAGUCGAACGCAGUGGGGACGGGUGAGUAACACGUGGGUAACCUCCCAUCAGAGGGGAUAACACUUGGAAACAGGUGCUAAACCGAUACUGAUGGAUGAACCCGCGGUGCAUUAGCUAGUUGGGUAGGUAACGGCUCACCAAGGCCACGAUGCAUAGCCGACCUGAGAGGGUGAUAGGCCAACCUGGAACUGAGAAACGGCCAAGACUCCUAAGGGAGGAAGAAGUAGGGAAUCUUCGACAAUGGACGAAAGUCUGAACGGGCAACGCCGGGUGAGGGAAGAAGGUUUUCGGAUCGUAAAACUCUGUAGUUAGGGAAGCGGUAUCUAACCAGAAAGCCACGGCUAACUACGUGCCAGCAGCCGCGGUAAGUC
rnacentral:rRNA from 1 species